GCUGUGACAGCCCUGAAAAUAUUAUUACUUUUAUAAUGUUUUGAUUAUGUGUUUGAUAUGUUUUUCUAUGACUGUGCACUCGUGCUUUAACAGUGCAAAAAUUUAUUUUGAUGUGUUUUUCUAUGACUGUGCACUCGUGCUUUAACAGUGCAAAAAUUUAUUUUUACUGAUGGAAUAUUGAUUGAUGAUGUAAUGUGACGCUAAUGCAUCCAUGCUUUCUUAUUCAAUGCACUAAAUUAUCUUUUGAAUACAAGUAUCUGAAUUUUCAUUGUUGUUGUAAUUGUGAAUAACCAUCAUCCAGCGCUUUCAUAUUGCACAAACGCUUACCCAUGGCGAUGAGCCGAUUUUCGUUUGCUUUUUGUGAUUAGGCGGCCAAAUUUGGUAGCGUCAAUUUAUUGCAGUCAGUAAUGUAAUAUUCAUUAUCAAUAAACUUAUUAUUUUU
rnacentral:sRNA from 1 species